AUAUUGAGCAAUGUGUAUGGUACAAAUCGGGAUUACCGAACAAGGAAUGUGUUUAAAAUAAACUGCAAAACCAGCAAUCUCGUUGGCCUUGCAGGUUUCUCAAUCUCAGGAUCUGACUUUGCAAUAAACAAAAUAAACUCUGGCUGUCUCACAUACAGAAUCAGAGAAGCAAGAAUCUGUAACUGCAAUAUCCCCUGGCUUGAUUUAAUGUAUUGCACACAGGAGUUUAUUCGUUAAACUCCAAGUUUUAGUGAUUCAUUGCAGAAAGGCAAAAUUAAGACAAAAAUAAUGCUCAGUUGGAGAAUUUUUCUGGAUCGGUUAUUUUGGCCUACUUAUUAUCACUGUGAUUUCAGAUAGCUUCAAUUUGGAUUUUAGUGAAUUAAG